rnacentral:misc_RNA from 1 species
AACGCACAUUGCGCCCGCCGGUAUCCCGGCGGGCAUGCCUGUUCGAGCGUCAUUUCAACCCUCAGGCUCCGCCUGGUGUUGGGGCUCCUGCGCACGCAGGCCCCCAAAGGCAGCGGCGGUCGUCCCCGGAAACCGAACGCAGUAGUUACUUCUCGUUCUGGGUCCCGGGCGCGCUCCAGCCGUUAAACCCCCCAUAACUCAAUGGUUGACCUCGGAUCAGGUAGGAAUACCCGCUGAACUUAA